AUGCUCCUCCCGAAAUUUGUUUAUGAAACAUCACAAAUAUUCCUAUAUUUCAAGGCUGCAGUCUGGAAAAACCUUCAGGCUAAUGCUGCUGAAACUGAGGUCAAGGGGACCAUGAAGAGGCGACUCCAACUGGCAGAUUAUACCGUUUUUCAGGAGGCAGGUUACAGUAAUCAGCUGAUCCAGUCGGUAUCCAGACCAGACAGUGGACCUGCACCCAGGAACAACCACAACACAUCCCUGAAUGUCAGCAGAGAAUGUCAACUAGAUGAAGAUCCCCUGUGAAGACCUCAUUGAUGGCCCCAGCACAGAUUCUCAGCAAAGACUAUGAGAACCAGACAAGCCCUCUGCACAGACCCUUUUACCAGCUACCCCUGCUGGCAUGAUGUUUCUACAAACAGAAGAAGCUGGAUGAAAUAUUAUGAAUUAUAUCAAUCCACAAUCUGAUUUGUGAUGCAGCCGGAAUAAUCACACCAUUCAUUUGUUUGGCUAGAGGAGAACCGGUUUCCUGACUGAGUCUGGUUUUGAUAGUGUUUGGAUUCUUUGCCACUGUUGCCUUUUGGCUUGCUUAGUUACCUAAUUAGUUACCUAAUAUUAAGCAAUAUUAUUAAUUUGACUGCACUGACACCAUUGGAUAAAAACUGAACGGACUUGAAUUAUGGCAUCACUGUGUGCUAAAUAAAGUUUUUUUUUUUUUUUUUUUAAUAAUAUACUGUAAAUAUUAUUAUUUUGUGGUUUAAAAAGUGUGUUGAUGUUUAUAUUGUAGAAGUGCAUUUGUUCAUUGUUAAUAUAUAUUUAUAUAAAAGUAGUUGGUAAUUUUAUAAUUAAAGCCUUUAAUCUUUUUAAAUUAUUGUAUUUGUGUUUCACUGCUGAAUUACAUUUAGCAGUUUCUGGGCCACAUUUGGCCCAGGGAUCAAGCCAAGUCUCAGCCAGAACUGGCUUAAAGUGUCUGGGCCACAUAAAAUAAUAAGUCACUCUACAGUAUGCUGGCCAGAUCGGGGCCACAUCAAUAAAUAGGAGUCAUUUUGCAGGGUGUGGGCCGCAUCUGGGCCAGAGGAAAUUGUUUGUGUCUGUUUUCAGUGUGUGGGCCAGUUUUGGGCCGGGGACCCAGACAAAAUUGGUCCAGAACCUAAGCAAGGUUGUGGCCCAGAGGUGGGCCAGACAAAUUUUACUAUCUGGGUUCAAUGAUCUGCAGAUGGUGUCAGCAGCCCGGCCAUUUUGCUCAGGUGUAAUUGGGAAAAUCGUUCUUCUGGCCCCAUAGUCCGUCCUUGUGUCAAUUCAUUAACCAGUGAAUCAAGGCCUGUUUCUGGUUCUAACCAGUCAGGAAACUAGAUCCCACCAGGCUGCGGAGCCACAGUUCGGAUUGGGAUACAUAUGGAUCUCAGGUUUGUUUUAAUGGUGAAUCGGCAUCUCAUUCAGUCUCCCCAUGCCCACACCUUGUAGUUAUUAUUAGAGGUGUUUCUGUACCUUGCUUGAUAGAUACUGGGCCCAUGGUAUCGACCAUUACAGAGAGCUGUUUUAGGUCACAAUUUGAAUUGUGGGGGCAGGAUCGCUUGCAGUCUUGUAACUGGUUGCAGCUUAGAGCAGCCAAUGAUUUAGAAAUCCCUUAUAUUGGGUACUUAGAAUUAGACACUGAACUGUGUGAUCAAAUGGUGUCCAAAUGCGGAACAUUGGUGGUUCACUUUCCUCCGAGUGGCACCAUAAGUACUCCAGGUAUUAUAACGGUACAACUGAUGGACACUUCA
ensembl:lncRNA